UCCCUUGUAGCUCAGUUGGUAAAAGAAUCUGCCUGCAACGCAGGAGACCUGGGUUCACUUCCUGGGUUGGGAA
rnacentral:tRNA from 1 species